CUAGGACCCAGCCACAACUGGACCAGAAGCUUCUCAAGCCUUCCAAGAGGAGGAAACCUCCUCCUGAGAGGAGUCAGAGAGGUCUGGGACCAGCAAGUGUCCCUUAGCCUCCUGUCCUGCCCCGACAUCUGGAACCUCUAGCACUGUUCUCCUCAUCCUCUUCCCAACCCAAGACUUCUGGAUAUCUUCGAAGUCCCUUCAUGGCCACUGUGGGGCACAGCUGUCCCCGGCUAGAUGGUCUUCCCAGCAGAUGUUUUCUCUAAGGCUGAACAGUCAACAUCCGUGAGUAACAAGGGUAAGUAAGCUCCUUCAAGGACACAGCUCACGGCCAUCCCCGUACCUGCACACAAAGGCACACACAAGCAUGUGCUCAUACCCGUGAACAUACACACACACACAAG
rnacentral:lncRNA from 1 species